GUGGGGAAUCUUGCGCAAUGGGCGAAAGCCUGACGCAGCCAUGCCGCGUGAAGGAAGAAGGCUUUCGGGUUGUAAACUUCUUUUAUGAGGGACGAAGAAGUGACGGUACCUCAUGAAUAAGCCACGGCUAACUACGUGCCAGCAGCCGCGGUAAUACGUAGGUGGCAAGCGUUGUCCGGAUUUACUGGGUGUAAAGGGCGCGUAGGCGGGAUAGCAAGUCAGGUGUGAAAUCCGGGGGCUUAACCGUCGAACUGCACUUAAAACUGUUAUGCUUGAGUGAUGGAGAGGCAAGCGGAAUUCCUAGUGUAGCGGUGAAAUGCGUAGAUAUUAGGAGGAACACCAGUGGCGAAGGCGGCUUGCUGGACAUUAACUGACGCUGAGGCGCGAAAGCGUGGGGAGCAAACAGGAUUAGAAACCCCAGUAGUCC
rnacentral:rRNA from 1 species